rnacentral:rRNA from 1 species
CUCAGCCUACGGGGGGCAGCAGUGGGGAAUAUUGGGCAAUGGACGCAAGUCUGACCCAGCAACGCCGCGUGAAGGAAGAAGGCGCCAGGCGUCGUAAACUUCUUUUGUCGGGGAACAAAGGGCGCCACGCGUGGCGUUGUGAGUGUACCCGAAGAAAAAGCAUCGGCUAACUCCGUGCCAGCAGCCGCGGUAAUACGGAGGAUGCGAGCGUUAUCCGGAUUUAUUGGGUUUAAAGGGUGCGUAGGCGGUCCGGAAAGUCAGCGGUAAAACCCCGGGGCUCAACCCCGGCGAGCCGUUGAAACUGU